GAUGAACGCUGGCGGCGUGCUUAACACAUGCCAGUCGAACGGUGAAGCAGAGCUUGCUCUGUGGAUCAGUGGCGAACGGGUGAGUAACACGUGAGCAACCUGCCCCCGACUCUGGGAUAAGCGCUGGAAACGGCGUCUAAUACUGGAUAUGAGCUGCGACCGCAUGGUCAGCAGUUGGAAAGAUUUUUCGGUCUGGGAUGGGCUCACGGCCUAUCAGCUUGUUGGUGAGGUAAUGGCUCACCAAGGCGUCGACGGGUAGCCGGCCUGAGAGGGUGACCGGCCACACUGGGACUGAGACACGGCCCAGACUCCUACGGGAGGCAGCAGUGGGGAAUAUUGCACAAUGGGCGAAAGCCUGAUGCAGCAACGCCGCGUGAGGGAUGACGGCCUUCGGGUUGUAAACCUCUUUUAGCAGGGAAGAAGCGAAAGUGACGGUACCUGCAGAAAAAGCGCCGGCUAACUACGUG
rnacentral:rRNA from 1 species